AGGAACCUUCUAGUCUUGCUGUCCAUCAGUGUUUGUGAAAUACGAUGAUGAGGGGUGAUGUCUAUCUGACUUUCUGGGCUGCUGCUUUCUAUAAGCUCCUGUAUUACACACUGGAAAACAUCCUUGAGAUUUGUGGCCAGCUGCAGUGGGAACGUAAAACAGCUAGAAGCUGCAAGGUCAUUCUCUUGAGAUCUUAUCACCUUGGGAUAUACUCUGUUUCCGAGAUUCUUUGAAUGUGAUUCUGGACCCCAUCACAUGACGUUCAUCUCAUUCCAUCAAGAAACCAUUACAAUACAGCUGCAAAGCAUCGCAAAAAUAGAGUAAUUGCACAAAUUGUGGGAUUUUAAAAAUGUAAUAUGGUUCUGAGGCACUGUUUUAAUGUGUGAUUGUAAAAUCAGUAUGCAUUCCAUCAGCUACAAUCUUGCGAGAAUGGUAGUUUGAGACUUCCAGGCUAUGAGCCAGCCCAAGACCCUUUGGUGAGAUUGAGGCAGGAUAUAAAAAUAAAGUUGUUAUUAUUAUUAUUAUUAUUAUUAUUAUUGUAUGACACAGCAAACAAAAUAGAUAUGCUGAAUUUCGUAUCACAAAAUCACAAGUCGAACACUUCCCAAGUGUCUAGGACUGUGUGAUGUAUUUUCGGAUGAUGCGCACAGAUCCCAGUAGGGUGGCCUUUUGCAGUUGGCAGAUCGUAAUUUUGUCAAUGCCUAUUGUUUCCAAAUGCUGCCUGAGAUCUUUUGGCAUGGCAAAAUAAUAAUAAUAAUAAUAAUAAUAAUAAUUAUUAUUAUUAUUAUUAUUAUUAUUAUUAUUAUUAUUAUUAUUAUGAUGUCAUUGCACAACAUUAGAGGGAAAUAAUUUAAAAGUGAUGUAGGGAGGCAUUCAAAUGGAUUGGGACUAGCCAGCCUUUUGUAAUGUGAUGAAUUGAAGCAUUGUAUUUUGAAAUUGUAAGAAUUGGGUGUGAUGGGGUCAGUAUGCAUCCUGUCUGAAUACUGUAUGUAUCAAGUCCUUAAAAAAUACAGGAUGCAUACUGAUAUAAAUGGAGUGUGAUAAGGUGAUUGAUAUGAAAAGGGAGGAUAGAUAACUCCUGGGAUGUUUUGAUUAAUUGAUUUAUGGGGUGGGGGUGGGGGGAAGUCCAUUUAAAGAGAGGAUGCAUUUCCUAAUUCACAAAUGGCAUGGAACUCUGUGUAAAAAAAAACCCUGUGUUUUGGCUAUUAAAGUAUUAAAAAGUUUUUCAUUCUUUCAUCCUAAAAACAACCUAGUAUUUAAACCAACUCUUUUUUCUUAAAUAAAAUUUAGACUUUUAAGAGCUUUUAUUUUCUGAUCUAGAGUUUGGCUGUACAUGACAUUAUAUCUAUGUAUCUUGAGAAAUCAUUCAACCGAAAGCUGCAUUAAGAAAAUUUUAGAAUAAAGCAGCUUCUUCCAUUUAUUCUCCAAGAUGCACACAAUGUGACUAACAUUUUAACAAGGGAAGGGUUUGGUAAUGAUUCUACACAGUAAUUACUUUAUUAAUUGUACCCUUGUAGUUGUAGACAACCUUUGGUUCUCUAGUUGUUUUGGACUUCAACUCCCAGAAAUCCCAUCUAACUUACCAGCUGUUCAGAAUUGUAGGAGCUGAAGUCCAAAACAUCUGGAGGACCAAAGGUUGGGGACCACUAGUUUAACCAAGGGCCCUUUCACACAGCUAUAUAACCCAGAAUAUCAAGGCAGAAAAUCCCACAAUAUCUGCUUUUUUUGUGUGUGUCAGGAGCAACCGGAGUUGCUUCUGGAGUGAGAGAAUUGGCCGUCUGCAAGGACGUUGCCCAGGGGAAGCCCGGAUGUUUUUGAUGCUUUUACUAUCCUUGUGGGAGGCUUCUCUCAUGUCCCCGCAUGGAGCUGGAGCUGACAGAGGGAGCUCAUCCGUGCUCUCCCUGGGUGGGAUUCGAACCUGGCAGCCUUCAGGUCAGCAACCCAACCUUCAAGUCACAAGGCUUUUAUCUCCUUGGCCACUGGAGGCUCCUACAAUAUCUGCUUUUAACUGGGUUAUUUGAGUCCACACUGCCAUAUAUUCCAGAUAAGGUAGAUAAUGUGGGAUUUUAUUCAGCUGUGUGGAAGGGGCCCAAGUGUUAUCUACUCCAACAGACAUAGGCUCAUAGAAGUAUUUCUCAUUCUUGUCACCUGAUAUGCCAUCAUGUCAUACCUUUGCGGUCAAAGUCACUUUCCUCUCUUCGUCUUUCAAGCAGCCUGACAACGACUUCAUCUAUAGAAGGAAUAAUAAGGGUUAUAAGCUUAAACACACUUUUCUGGAAAUACAUUCUACUUGAAAUCAACUUCUGGAAGAGAACAUGUUUGGAACUGGUCUCUAAGAUAUAUAAGUGUAAGAUGGCCAGACCAUAAAAAUACUAAAAAGUUUUUAUGUCGCGUAAUAUAGAGCUGUUAACAAAUAGUACUGCCUAAAUGUGAGCAGUACUGUGUUUUUAAAAUGUUUUUUAAACAUUUUUGCCCGAUGAAAAAGCUAGUGGAAUAUCAAAAAUCUGCACUAUGUGUUUUGUGAACAAAUGUAUCCUUCUUUUGUGGAUAUUGUAUUUUGUUUCUUUUUGCUCUAAAGCUAAUUCACAAAGCCCUGAAUAUGUUACAUCAGAAAUGAGUGAGAUCUUACCACCGGCAUUAAUCAAUACAGUAGAGUCUCAUUUAUCCAAGAUAAACGGGCCGGCAGAACCUUGGAUAAGCGAAUAUCUUGGAUAAUAAGGAAGGAUUAAGGAAAAGCCUAUUAAACAUCAAAUUAGGUAAUGAUUUUACAAAUUAAGCACCAAAACAUCUUGUUAUACAACAAAUUUGACAGAAAAAGUAGUUCAAUAUGCAGUAAUGUUAUGUUGUAAUUACUGUAUUUACGAAUUUAGCACCAAAAUAUCAUGAUAUAUUGAAAACAUUGACUACAAAAAUGCCUUGGAUAAUCCCGAACCUUGGAUAAGCGAGUCUUGGAUAAGUGAGACUCUAAUGCUAUCAAGCAAAAUGACACAGCUGUCUUGUACAUGAGAACGAAGGAUCAAAGAGCCAAGUGGAGAGGUCUUAGCAGUUCCCAUAAAGGACUUCCUUAAUGGUGGUCAGUCUUCUAUCUGAAACAGUUAGUAUCCAGUAUAGCAAGAGGAUAAAACAUAUAGGAAACUAUGAAGUGUUUCAACUCCUUGAAGCUAUUCUUAUAGGAAUUAUGGGAUUGGAUCACAAGAUAAUGCUAUAUUGAACUUCAGUUAUGGUAAGCAAAAUUUCUCAUUAUUACAACUUACCAGCACUUUUUAAACCUUUCUCCUUCCUAGCCAUGCUCCUUUGAUCUGGAGUCUUUUCUGCUGUAUGAAAACAAUAUUGAUAAAUAUCAUUAUUUAUUUCUAAUAGAAUAAGCUGCUAUACAUUUAAAAAACCAGUUAGUGACAUCUGAAGUACAGAACAAUGUACACUUAAAUUAAUAACUGGUUCUGACAAAAGAAUAACUAGCUCAAUCAAAGCCUUUUGAGGAUACAGCAAGAAUGACUUCAGACAACCUGUGAUCAAAACUUAUCAUUUAAAAAAAAGCUGCAGAGAAAUUAACCAGCGCAGCAUUGGUGAUGGAGUGUGUAUCCACCCAACAUAUGGUGAAAUCUCUUUCUUUGGAAGGUACUUAUUUGCUCCAUAAAACACAAUAUGCAGGCACCAUUACACAGAGUUGUUCUCCACAUUUUCCUUCUAGCUCCCUCAGUGAUCCAGUGGUCUCAUUAGAACAAAAAGCCUAAUUAAACAAGCUUUUAGUCAGAAAAUCCCAAACCCGAAUUUGGUUUAUGUGUUAUCAUUAAUAGGAAAAAAUGUUAAUGCAGUAUUUUUGAAUUUAAAUGUGAAAUUAUUCUUAAUCUAUCGAUUAUAUAUCAUCAUUGAGCUGCUUGUCUCUUUUUUAUAGCUCCACAAACCACCCUGCCAGAUGUAUGGUCUUCUCUCGUGCAUCGCACACAUGGACUGUUUGCCUGGACUAGAAAAUUUCAAUAAGGGCUAAAUCUAAUUCCUGACUAGACUAGAUCCACUGGAAUUAAUGGGACUGAGAAAGACAACACAAAUGUAAAUCCUUCCAAUUCAAUACUUAACUUCACUUAGUCACUUAGACAAUCCGUUCCUCAUCUUUUGCACGGAUCACAGUGUCUUCUCUAUUGGACUCCAUUCAUAUCUAUUUUGAACACGAGUUGACCAGUGUAUCAUUGUACAUGUUCGUCUCUCACAUUAUAGACCAUACAGAAUGAAUCAAACCAUCGGAUAGGAGGACGACCAAGAGGUCUCGUCCAUCCCCACGGGUACCAUGUUGCCGUGGCAUUGCUCCAGCGCCCCUUUGUCUGAGUUGGACAAUGUGGCGUAGAGGAUCUUUCACUUUUGAUAUUUUUCUAACAUCCUCGUUGUGCAGUCUGUGUUCUUGCUGAGUUCAGAGAGACAUCUCAACGAGCAAUCUUUCGAAAGAGGCAUGCACAACACGUAGUUGUUCCAAGAUAGCCUUCGUCAUUGUCCAUGUCUCUGCACCAUAGCAUAGGGCAGGUAGCACGAUUGAGACAAACAAUUGAGGUCAUAAAGAUGUAUUUCUGGUUGAGUCCCCAAUGGUUUUAAUAGAAUUGUAAGCGGCCCAUCCUGCUUUCCUGCUUCUGUUCAGCUCUGGCUUCAAUUCAUUCCUUGAUGUUUACAGCCUUCAAUACAUCAGCUCAAAUUGCAUAUUUUUCACAGAUUAAAUCCUGGGAUGUUGCUGGCCAACCAAUAUCAGAAUGUAAUCCAAAAGGUGUAGCAAGGCAACAAGAGGGCAAAAAUGAGGAAGAAUCCAGAGGCAGGGGGAGUGCUCGGUUGCCAGAGGUGCGGAGUAAUGCUAGCUCGGUCUUUUACCCGGCUGCACCCUGCCGUGCUUGUAUUGGUCAGCAUGGGGCUGACCGAUUUUAGAUCCAGGACCCAAUGCAUGGCAGCCAACCCUUUGUUACUGUUAUCAAUAAACAAGUUGUGGCCAGUUUUUUACCCAA